UCAGAGUCCGAGUUGUAAUUUGCAGAGGGCGCUUUGGAGUUGGCAGCGGUCCAAGUUCCUUGGAACAGGACGUCACAGAGGGUGAGAAUCCCGUACGUGGUCGCUAGCCUUCGCCGUGUAAAGCCCCUUCGACGAGUCGAGUUGUUUGGGAAUGCAGCUCUAAAUGGGAGGUAAAUUUCUUCUAAAGCUAAAUACUGGCCAGAGACCGAUAGCGCACAAGUAGAGUGAUCGAAAGAUGAAAAGCACUUUGGAAAGAGAGUCAAAUAGCACGUGAAAUUGUUGAAAGGGAAGCGCUUGCAGCCAGACUUGCCUGUAGUUGCUUAUCCGGACUCUUGUCCGGUGCACUCUUCUAUAGGCAGGCCAGCAUCAGUUUGGGCGGUUGGAUAAAGGUCUCUGUCACGUACCUCUCUUCGGGGAGGCCUUAUAGGGGAGACGACAUGCAACCAGCCUGGACUGAGGUCCGCGCAUCUGCUAGGAUGCUGGCGUAAUGGCUGUAAGCGGCCCGUCUUGAAACACGGACCAAGGAGUCUAACAUCUAUGCGAGUGUUUGGGUGUCAAGCCCAGACGCGUAAUGAAAGUGAACGGAGGUGGGAACCCUUUGGGUGCACCAUCGACCGAUCCUGAUGUCUUCGGAUGGAUUUGAGUAAGAGCAUGGCUGUUGGGACCCGAAAGAUGGUGAACUAUGCUUGAAUAGGGUGAAGCCAGAGGAAACUCUGGUGG
rnacentral:rRNA from 1 species